UUUCAGGCUGCGUCUUUCGCUGUUGGUUCAAACCAUGAGGACCAGUAAAACUAACAGGCAAGAAAUCCUCUGAGGGAAGACGAGAUUGGUCAAAGCCGAAGGACAGGUGCUAACAGUGAGUAUCGACUGCAAACCAGCAAAGUGCCAAAGGACCUUCAAGGAGAGCAAAUCAAUGGGCCAGAAGUGAUAAUUUUCUAGAAGUUCUGGGAGGAAGCACGAGCUUCUGAAGCACAGCCGUUCACCGCCUUGCACCCGGUCUGUGGCCCUUUGUUAUGGCAGCCCUAGUGAACUGACACAGCUCCCUCCCUGAAUCGGACUGGCCUGUGCUUACGGAGAUGGCAUUAUGACCCAGGCCACAUCAUAAAGGCUAUAGACCUUCCAUUGGGUCUCUUGGGAGACUGGUCAGCCACGCUGUGAAGAAGCCCCGGUCAUCUGAAAAGGUCACAUGCUGGUGUUCCAGCCCACAAUCCCAGGCUCUUUCCAGGUUGUUCUGCUCUGGAAGGCUAGCCAACCAAAGCUUUCUAGCAAAAGCGACUUGCUCCCACGUGCCUCUAGUGGAGGACAUGGAGACUGCCUGCGGCACAGGGGCCCAUGUUUGUACUGACUGCAGUCAACCUGCCCCCUCCCCCGGACCCCAGCUUGGUGUCAGAACCCAGAGUCCAGGCACAAAGUACUAGCACAACACAGUCUGGUGGAACGACUCUUGGAGGAGGAACGCGCCCCAACGGUCCGCCGAGUUUGGAAACACGUUCACGGGGCAACUCUCGGGAUGCGCCAGGGGCCAAAGACUGGAGACCCGAUUCACCGCCCCGGUAUUCACGUCCCAGAGUCUCUGCCCAGCCUUCGCCCAGCGAAGGAGGCCCUUGGACCCCAGGGAGCUCUCGGUCGGGGGGCCUCCUCCCGAGGUCCCGCAGCCUCCGGAGCUCUAAUCUCGGGGGGCUGCUGGCGCCCCUAAGCAGCCCGCGGGAAUAUCAGAAUCCAGCAGCCCCAGGGAACGCCUCUGCGCCCGCCCAGUCGCUCCAGAGAAGGGGAAGUGGGGCCUCACGAAAGAAAAACCCGGCGGCCCGCAGACCAGUGCGGGGAAGCCCGGGAGCGCCGUCCACACUCGCCAAACUCCG
rnacentral:lncRNA from 1 species